rnacentral:rRNA from 1 species
GAAAGACUUGCUUCCUUCGUCCGGCGACCGGCGCACGGUGGAGUAACACGUAUGCAACCUCGCCCUCUUCUACGGGGGACGAACCUUCCGAAACGGGAAGGCGUAAUCCCGCGUAUAUCGGUUUCGGGUCGAUCCGAGAUCGAGGAAAGAUUCAUCGGAAGAGGAUGGGCAUGCGGCGCAUUAGCUUGACGGCGGGGUAACGGCCCACCGUGGCGACGAUGCGUAGGGGUUCUGAGAGGAAGGUCCCCCACACUGGUACUGAGACACGGACCAGACUCCUACGGGAGGCAGCAGUGAGGAAUAUUGGUCAAUGGGAGAGAUCCUGAACCAGCCAAGCCGCGUGAGGGAAGACGGCCCUAUGGGUUGUAAACCCCUUUUAUCGGAGAACAAAACCCGGGACGUGUCCCGGACUGCGUGUAUCCGAAGAAAAAGCAUCGGCUAACUCCGUG